rnacentral:rRNA from 1 species
GGGUCAGUAGGUUGGUCGUGCCACCGGUACGUACUGGCCUCACUGAUUCCUCCUUCCUGAAGAACCGUAAUGCCAUUAAUUUGGUGUUGCGGGGAAACAGGACUGUUACUUUGAAAAAAUUAGAGUGUUUAAAGCAAGCUUACGCUUGAAUACAUUAGCAUGGAAUAAUGAAAUAGGACGAUCGAUCCUAUUUUGUUGGUUUCUAGGAUUGACGUA